UACGUAGGGGGCUAGCGUUGUCCGGAAUCAUUGGGCGUAAAGCGCGCGUAGGCGGCCAGAUAAGUCCGGUGUGAAAGUCACAGGCUCAACCUGUGAAUGCCGCUGGAAACUGUCUGGCUAGAGUCCGGAAGGGGCGAGUGGAAUUCCUGGUGUAGCGGUGAAAUGCGCAGAUAUCAGGAGGAACACCAGUGGCGAAGGCGGCUUCCUGGACCUGUUCUGACACUGAGGAGCGAAAGCGUGGGGAGCGAUCCGGAUUAGAA
rnacentral:rRNA from 1 species